CGAGUAAGCGAGGCAAUCGCCGGUGCAGCACCGAAAGGUCGCACGGGAGGAAAGUCCGAGCUCCACAGGGCGUGGUGCUGGGUAACCCCCAGUGGGAGCAAUCCUAAGGAAAGUGCCACAGACAUGGAGACCGCCGAUGGAAGCAGUGAUGCUUCACAGGCAAGGAUGCAACGGUGCGGUAAGAGCGCACCAGCGGCGCGGUGACGCGUCGGCUAGGUAAACCCCACCUGGAGCAAGACCGCAUAGGAGUGCAUUGUGGUGACCCGCCACGCACUCGGGUAGGUUGCUUGAGCGGCGCAGAGAUGCGUCGCCUAGAUAGAUGAUUGCCGCCUCGAUCCGUGCGAGGCCAUGAACUUGAUGGCUGACUGAGUACGUGAGGAGACAGAACUCGGCUUAUUGCUUGCUCGCGCA
rnacentral:RNase_P_RNA from 2 species